AUCCAACUGACGAGUCCCAAAUAGGACGAGACGCUCGUCCUGGUU
rnacentral:hammerhead_ribozyme from 1 species